AGGAAAGCAAAACUUGCUGUUGGAUCUCUUGGAGAGUGGGAGAAGACACCCAAAAAGAUGGCAAUAUGAUACAGGACUGAAAACAAAGACAUCCAAACCUUGAGCCAUUUAGAAGAAGCCAAAAUCUGUGCCAGAGGUUUGUCUGUUGGGUUUACUCAUGGCUUCAGUUUCUUCAGGACUAGGAGACCUCUGAGAUCGGGCUGCUUAUGUUCCUUCUCCCAGUGAAGUAUAGCUUGUCCAGUGGGACAUGUGCUUCACUGCAGCUGGUCCUUCAGGCUGUCAUGACUAACAAAGCAGCCCUUGACUGGCUGCAUGUGUCCAUCCCUAGUGUUCAGCUAUUGCCUAACUCCACUGAGAAGAAAUGGAUGCUGUAUUCAACGAUUUAGCCUACUCAAUGGACAAAGUUCCGUGAAGGAAAACCCAAGCUAAACAAAACAAAACCCACAGAAAUCAAAACAGCUGGAAAAUGCUGCUCCAUAUAAUCCCAGCUGUCCUGUCCUGCUGCUAAGAAGAACCAUACUAAGAGGCUGCUACAGACGCAUGCAGAAAAAACAUGUUGUUAGAGGCAUCAGGUUCAGGAGUCUGUGGGAUGCAGCCAUUCCUUGGGCACUCCAGAUGUAUUUAAAUAUUAAAAGAUCAAACAGUCUAUUUCCCUGUUUGC